AUGUUUAAAAACUGUUAUCAAGAUGCAUAAAUAACACUGUUACUUUGCUUAUAAAAAAAUCAAAUAAACUUGAAUAUUUUAAUUUGAUAAAUUAUGUGUUCAGUCAUUAAUCUAUAAGCGAAUAGAAUAAACAUUACAACAUGUGGUAGAAUUGACAAUGAGACAGCUACCCAAUAUAGAGUAAAUUAUGUUGACGGUAGUUGCAAUAAGUCACAUUACGGGCUUUUCCAAUAGUGAGAAAUACAAAUACCGUAUAUUAAGUAAGCUAAACAAAAUCCCAAAUUGACAAUAUGUCAACCAUUUCAAACUAUAGAACUUACACUGUUAGGUCCGAUAGGUAAAUAAAUUUUGACAAAAGUCCGACGAUGAUAUAAUAUGUUCUCAUUGUAGCUGUACCUGUGGAGAGUAAGUAUUGAAGAUAAAGCUUACGAUUUAUAUUUUUCUUCGAUGGCUCGGAUGUACAUUAUAUGCAUUAGUCAUCAAAAGAAGUACAUAUAAUGAUAAUACAAUAUUGUAUCACUGACAGCUUUACACGUUGUAUAACAUGUUUAUUUUCAAUUAAUGUGUUUCAUACUUAAAAUUUACAUGAAAAAGUACAAUACAUCUAUUUACUAACUGAUCGAUAAGGAUAUGCACAAAAUGGCAUUUUUCUGCGGCAGUAUCUUUUAAACUUGUUUUUGUAGAGAGAUAACGUAACUUACGUUUGCAAGUUUCUUCUUAUGAAGAACACUUUUUAUUUAGUUAAGUGGUAUGGUCGUUUCUGACAUAAAUCGGUUCCAUUUGAAAAUAUUGGUACUCUUACAGACCGGAUACAUACUCAUCAUAUACAGAUAAUUUCAAUAAAUAAAGUGACUAUAUAUAUUUAUCAAAAUACAGAGCUAGUAUGUACUGUUUGUUAAUAGAGAAUCAAUAGAACACUUUUACAAAGGGGAGAUGCAGUUCUUGUUGAAAUGUUAACACGACUUGUAUGACUGUUGUUCCUUAAACUGAACGUAAACAACAUCAAUUUACAUUAUCUAUUGCGUCAAAUCGUGCCUAAACACAAGUUCAAACAAAUGAACCAAUAACAGUCCUUAAGGAGUUGUUCAGUGUAUUAUAAAAUUGAGAAUGGAAAUGGGGAAUUUGUCAAAGAGACAACAACCCGACCAAAGAGCAGAAAACAGCCCAAGGCCACCAACACAGCGAUAAACUAGUUUGAUAUCUAAAAACUAAAAAUAUGGAAGUCAAUGUUGUGGACAACAAAACUGCAAACAUUUAAGCAAACCUCCACUUACAUCGUUGACGAACUAAGUGUUAAUUUUCAAUGCGUUUUAAGAAGGAUAAACAAGUUGCAUCCAGGGAGCAGAUAGCACAAAUUUAUAGCAUCACUUGUAAACAUGUAUGAUGUAUAAUUAGACGUUAAACAAAAACAAUCAUUGUAUUUAUUUCUUCAGAUGGAUGAAACUGAUAAGACAAUAGUGACAGCCAGUAAUAAACAUUGGCGAAACACAGAAAUGAUUGCAAAUACUUCCUUCCGAUGCAAAAACAAUAUUGAACAAUCUGAAUAUACUGUUUCCUUGUUGUAUUUGCAUGCACGUUUUAUGUUUAAAACAUAUAUGAUUCUGAUACAUCAAAAUAGAAACUUUACAAUUGUUUCCCUAAAAUCUAUUUUAACCACAAAAUAAUUAUGUCGUACGUGUUGCAUCACACGAAUCAUUCAUACUUUGAUAUUUUCUUAUGUCAGAUAAUUAUUUAAUGCUCUCUCGUGACUGAGUAUUAUAUCAAAUUCAUAAUAAUUAGCUACACUUCUUACCAAUCAAGUAUUAUAUAACUACAAUUUGUAUCCUAGUGUCCGUUACUCAUUCGAAUUUAUUUCACUUUUCUAUUUAUACUACAAAGAACGUUAUUAUAGAACUUAACGUAUUGAAAAGCAUUAUAAACUGUCUGAAUAGUCUUUAAGCAAUUGAUUCGAAACAAAUCAAAACUGUAGACUUUUUCUAGUAUUUCAAGUUAUUGUUCAAAUUGUUCACACUAUGUCUAUAACCCUACAAUGUAUUUCUUAAUGUGAAUUCGAUUAUCAUACAUACAUUUGAUUUAUACGUUGUUUCUGCCAUUAAACUAGUAAACAUGUAGAUUGAAAUUGUAUUAUAUUCAACGCGCGAGACUACUAUACAUAUUUCUGUAAUAUGUAUAUGAAUGUUAUUUUUCUUGUUUUAUAAAACGUUAUGAUUAUAUUUAAAUGUGUAGUCUUUGGAAAUCAUGAAAUAAAUUUGCAACUGG